UCCAGAGGGUGCGAGCGUUGUCCGGAAUCACUGGGCGUAAAGGGCGCGUAGGCGGCUCGGUCAGCGUGCGGUGAAAGCCCGGGGCUCAACCCCGGGUCGGCCGUGCGAACUGCUGGGCUGGAGCACUGUAGAGGCAGGUGGAAUUCCGGGUGUAGCGGUGGAAUGCGUAGAGAUCCGGAAGAACACCGGUGGCGAAGGCGGUUCUCUGGGCCUGUACUGACGCUGAGGAGCGAAAGCGUGGGGAGCGAACAGG
rnacentral:rRNA from 1 species